GACGAGCCUCACGAACGUUAAUCGGAAUUACUGGGCGUAAAGCGUGCGCAGGCGGUUAUGUAAGACAGAUGUGAAAUGCCCGGGCUUAACCUGGGAACUGCAUUUGUGACUGCAUGGCUAGAGUUUGGCAGAGGGGGGUAGAAUUCCACGUGUAGCAGUGAAAUGCGUAGAUAUGUGGAGGAACACCGAUGGCGAAGGCAGCCCCCUGGGUCAAGACUGACGCUCAUGCACGAAAGCGUGGGGAGCAAACAGG
rnacentral:rRNA from 1 species